AAACUUUCAACAACGGAUCUCUUGGUUCUCGCAUCGAUGAAGAACGCAGCGAGAAUGCGAUAAGUAGUGUGAAUUGCAGAAUUCAGUGAAUCAUCNAAUCUUUGAACGCACAUUGCGCCUCCUGGUAUUCCGGUGUAGGCAUGCCUGUUCGAGCGUCAUUA
rnacentral:rRNA from 1 species